UCUUAUAAUUUAUGUGAGCCGUGGUCUCCUGCUACAGUUUUCCAUAUUUUCUUUCUUUCGUGUAUUUAAAGAUUUUCAUUUCUUCUGUACUCGAUCAUCAAAGCGAUUCGUCUCUCCCGGAGCUCUAUGUCAGCCGCAUUGUACCUCCCUAUCCGUAUUUCCCACUCAUAGUUCUGGCGUCAAGAUUGCGCGGAAUUGGUACGUUUUCGGUGCUUCCCGUACUGGAUCUGGAGGUCAACACGCUUUGGGUAUUUUUGAUCAAAUUAGUACUCAUAAAAGGGGUCUGCAAGUCUAACAUUCUUUCCCUGGGAUUAAAGCUUUGUCAGGAUGAGUUGAAUUGUGCUUCGUUUCCAGGGCAUCUGCUGAGGCACAAGGCUCAAGAUGGGGAUCUUUGAUGGUUUGCCAGUGUCUUCCGGCAAAGCAUAUCUGAGGGAAGAACUUACAAGAAUAGAUGAGAGUUGGGCCACAGGACGCUUUGAUUCAUUACCUCAUGUUGUCCAUAUUUUGACAUCAAAAGAUCGUGAAGGCGAAGUUGAAUCUUUGAAGGAGCAAAGUGACGUUGUUGAGGAGGUUGUGAAUGAAGUGGUGCAUGCUUAUCACAGUGGCUUCAACAAAGCAAUUCAAAACUAUUCCCAGAUCUUGAGGUUGUUUGGCGAAUCCACUGAAAGUAUCGCUGUCUUAAAGGUUGAUUUGGCUGAGGCAAAGAAGCAUCUUAGCACCCGCAAUAAGCAAUUGCAUCAAUUGUGGUAUCGGUCGGUAACAUUGCGUCACAUAAUUUCCCUCUUAGAUCAAAUUGAGGGCAUAGCCAAGGUUCCGGCUCGUAUUGAAAAGCUAAUUGCUGACAAGCAGUUUUAUGCUGCAGUUCAGUUGCAUGUUCAAUCAACAUUGAUGCUUGAGCGAGAGGGGCUUCAAACUGUUGGUGCUCUUCAAGAUGUCCGGUCAGAGUUGACAAAGUCGCGAGGAGUUCUUUUUUACAAGGUUUUGGAGGAUUUGCAUGUACACCUGUACAACAAAGGUGAAUACAGCUCAGCUGCCUCAAGCAUACAUGAAAGAGAUGACGAAGUGCCAACUACCACAGCUGUUGUGUUAUCUGUGAAUAAUUCACAAUCUCUAUCUCGAAGAACCAGGCUACUGAAAGGUGACAACCAGUUUGGUUUCCAAACAGAUGGAUCAUGUAGGCCGAGUUCUGUUGAUGGAGGGUUCUCUUUUGAUAACCAUGACAAGGAGGGUGCUCUGGAAGAUGCUGCCUCAGAUGGGAAUAUGUCAUCAGUUGGGGUCAAUGGUGGAAAUGGUAAUCUAAAGGAUGCCAAAACUCUUCCUCGCCAGACACCAAUAUGGCUUUUGAAUUCCACUCCAGAUGAAUUUCUUGAGACAAUAAAGAAGAGUGAUGCUCCGCUUCAUGUGAGGUAUUUGCAAACCAUGGUUGAGUGCCUCUGCAUGCUUGGCAAGGUUGCAGCUGCUGGGGCUAUAAUAUGCCAAAGAUUGCGACCGGCAAUUCAUGAGAUAAUCACAUCCAAGAUUAAAGCUCAUGCAGAACUUGUUAAUUCUUCAAGGUCUGGCAUCAGUCAGGGUGAGCGAAAUGCUACUCCAGGUCUUCAUUUUAUAAAAGAACAGCUAGAAAGCUUCCAGUUCCCCAAACAAAAGCAUCAGAACGGGAUAUCUCUGGCUGGGACUCUUUCUGCGGUUAGUCCUGUCUCUCCUGUGAUGGCUCCCACAGGAAGAGCACAGGCAGCCACAAGGGAGCUUCUGGAUUCAAUUUUGGACACAGUUGUUCGAAUAUUUGAGAAUCAUGUCGUCAUUGGAGAGAUUUUGGAAUCAAAAUCCACUCAUCAAAUUGAAGUGAACACUCCAAGGUCAAGGCCAACAGAUUGGAAUCCUGAUUCUGAAGCAUCUCAAGUUACUGGGGGCUAUAGCAUUGGCUUCUCCUUGACUGUUUUGCAGAGUGAAUGUCAACAAUUCAUUUGUGAGAUUCUGCGGGCUACUCCCGAAGCCGCGUCUGCAGAUGCUGCCGUACAAACAGCUAGACUUGCAAGCAAGGCCCCUUCCAAAGAAAAGAGGGACCGGUCAGAGGAUGGUCUUACCUUUGCUUUUCGUUUUACAGAAACAACAAUAUCUAUUCAUAACCAGGGGGGGAGUAGGAGGGGUCGCAAUGUUUUGCAAGAAGGUUAUGGAUCUGCAACAGUCUUACCUGAGCAAGGCAUAUAUCUAGCUGCAUCUAUAUAUCGACCUGUGCUUCAGUUUACAGAUAAGGUUGCUGCAAUGCUGCCAAAAAAGUAUGCCCAGCUUGGGAAUGACGGAUUGCUUUCAUUUGUGGAGAACUUCGUGAAGGACCACUUUUUACCAACUAUGUUUGUAGACUACCGGAAAAGCGUACAGCAAGCUAUAUCAAGUCCAGCUGCAUUUCGGCCAAAGGCGCAUGCUGCGUCCACUUAUACUCCAUUGGUUGAGAAGGGUAGACCAGUCUUACAAGGGCUUUUGGCUAUUGAUUUCUUAGCAAAAGAGGUGCUUGGUUGGGCUCAAGCAAUGCCUAAAUUUGCUGGUGAUCUUGUGAAGUAUGUGCAGACUUUCCUUGAGCGUACAUAUGAGAGAUGUCGUACUUCAUACAUGGAGGCGGUGCUUGAGAAGCAGAGUUAUAUGCUCAUUGGGAGGUAUGAUAUUGAGAAAUUGAUGCGACUUGAUCCAGCAAGUUCUUGUUUACCAAAUUCACUUGGUCAGUCAAACAUGGAUAGCAAUGCUGGAAGUGUUGAGGUUGAACUGGAACUGAGCGAUUUAUUGUUGGCUUUGAGGCCAAUUAAGCAGGAGAAUCUAAUCCGUGAUGAUAACAAACUCAUUUUGCUAGCAUCCCUUAGUGAUUCAUUGGAGUAUGUUGCAGACUUAAUUGAGAGGCUUGGACAAAUAAACUCAAGAGCAUCAAUUCAAAUAGAGGAGACUCCCAAGUACCAUCAUACUCGAACAAGCAGUGCACCUACUAGGGAUCUGGCAUCAUUUGCUGAUGAGUACAGAAAAUUAGCAAUAGAUUGCCUUAAGGUUUUACGUGUAGAGAUGCAGUUGGAGACAAUUUUCCAUAUGCAGGAAAUGGCAACUAGGGAAUAUUUGGAGGACCUAGAUGCUGAAGAGCCAGAUGACUUCAUUAUUUCACUCACCUCUCAGAUAAUGCGAAGGGAUGAGGCGAUGGCACCUUUUCUUGAAUGUCCAAAGCGCAAUUACAUAUUUGGUGGAAUUUGUAGCAUUGCUGCGAAUGCAUCUAUCAAGGCUUUGGCUGAUAUGAGAUCCAUUAACCUUUUUGGGGUUCAGCAGAUAUGCCGGAAUUCGAUAGCAUUAGAACAGGCGCUGGCGGCUAUCCCAUCAAUUAACAGUGAAGCUGUGCAACAGAGAUUGGAUCGUGUUCGUACUUACUACGAACUUCUAAACAUGCCAUUUGAGGCCUUGCUAGCCUUCAUUGUGGAGCAUGAGCACGUUUUUACAACUGCAGAGUACGCUAAUCUUCUGAAGGUCCAGGUCCCAGGAAGAGCGAUUCCUGCUGAUGCUCAAGAUCGCGUAUCAGAGAUUUUCUCUCAUUAGCUUUUUACCAGUUCUGGAUGUCAACGUGUCAAAGUUCCUGGGUUCUUCGUCCUAGAGUGGCAUUUUUCCAGCUUGCAGGUUAGAUCCUUAUUUCUUUAAGGAAGGCCUGAUGCUGCAAACGGAUGUAGAUGCCACUUCCAUAGAAUUCGCCACUUCCGUAAACGAGGAUGCAAGUCUGAUCUAAUGUACGGACAGACGUGACCUGAAAUUUAUUAUCUACUCCUGCGUUAGAGAUAGAUACGUUGUACUUCCAACAUUAAUCUCACAUAUGCAGAUCACAUAAAGAGCUCAAGCUGUAAAAUGACCUCCACCAUUCAAAACGAACAGUAACAAACCCUCUCAGUUUGUUCACGGCAAAAUACACCUAUGAAGGAGGGAGGCUUCUUAGGAAGACGGUUCGGUCCCUUCGACAAUCUCUUGCAAGGUCUGCAAAUGCCCACAAGAAACGCAGAUAAUAAUAUCCUCAAAUGUUUUUUUUUUUUUUUAUUGGUUUUUCGUUUUCACAUGAAUGGGUUUCGGCCUGAAGGGAAGAUUUCGAAUUGGCCACUCCUGAUUUCUUAACCGUGGUUCCAGUUCAAUUGGUUUAUUGAGAGCAUUGGCAAUGGUCUAGCCAUUGUCAAGUCCAAAUUUUGGCUAGAAUUGUAAAUUUUAGCUAUAAUCAAAACUUUUAGCUAA